UCAGCCCGUGACAGGGGCGGGCGGGCGGGCGCUUCCUGCAGGCUGCAGCAGCGAAGGGCUGCGAAGGGCUGGCGAGGAGUUCACGCAAGCCCUGACCUCGUCUCGCCCGGGCCCAGGCCCGCGGGAGGCGGCGGAGCACCCGCCGCACUGAGCAUCCUGCCCAGCUCCGGCCACAAAAUCGGAGGCUGGCAAAACCACGUCCGAAUGCUAAAGGUCAUGGAACAGCUUAUAACAACAUCAUAUUUUGUACAAGGUCUUUACCUGUGCUUUGUCAAGCUUUGGGAUCCCGUCUCAUACCUGGAGAGCGGUUAUCAGCCCAAAUCAGCAAGAUCCGCUGUUGUUACUACGUGUAACCGAUCAUGUUAGCUACUGCAACCACAGGUGCCAUUCUUCUCUGUGUAAAGCGCUAGGUGAUGAAACUCUGCCUUAGGAUCUUCUCCAUGUCAGCCAGAGGAAGGCCAGCAGAUAACAUAACCCUGAAGAGGAGAGCGUUCAGAACACCCCGAGCACACCGGGGCAGGCAGGCUGACGGCCGCGCGUCUGGGGCGAUGCCGGGGCGCGGGGCCGUGGGGGCCCCGUGGGCUGGUCCUUGCCCCGGUCGGGGACUGGUGCCGUGGUCGGGGACCGCUGCCCCCGUGGGGGACCGCUGCCCCGAGGGCGCCCACGUCCCCCGGCAGCACUGCGCCGCUCUCGGGCAAGCAGGGGCCUGGCCCUCCCCACCCAACUGGUUUGCAACCAGCACAGCAAGUUGCUUAAAGUCUUUCUCCCAGUGAGCUCAUCUGGCGUCCUUUGGCUAAACAGUAUUAAAUGUGUUUGAUGUUUCUC